rnacentral:rRNA from 1 species
UGAGUGCGAGCUGCUACGGCAGCGAAGUUGGUGAUGUCAUGCUUCCAAGAAAAGCCCUAUACCCGUUAAGGCAUCAUGGCCUGUACCCGAAACCGACACAGGUGGGGUGGUGGAGAAUACCGAGGGGCGCGAGGUAACUCUCUCUAAGGAGCUCGGCAAAAUGGCCCCGUAACUUCGGGAGAAGGGGUGCCACCGCAAGGUGGUCGCAGUGAAGAGGCCCAGGCGACUGUUUACCAAAAACACAGGUCUCCGCUAAGUCGCAAGACGAUGUAUGGGGGCUGACGCCUGCCCAGUGCCGGAAGGUUAAGGAAGCUGGUCAGCGCAAGCGAAGCUAGCGACUGAAGCCCCGGUGAACGGCGGCCGUAACAAUAACGGUCCUAAGGUAGCCAAAAUUCCCUGUCGGGUAAGUUCCGACCCGCACGAAAGGCGUAACGAUCUGGGCGCUGUCUCGGAGAGAGGCUCGGCGAAAUAGAAUUGUCUGUGAAGAUGCGGACUACGUGCACCCGGACAGAAAGACCCUAUGAAGCUUUACUGUAGCUUGGUAUUGUGCCCGGGCUCGCAAUGCGCAGGAUAGGUGGGAGGCUUUGAUCAUCGGCUUGCGGGUCGAUGUGAGCCAACGGUGAGAUACCACUCUUUGCGAGCUAGGGUUCUAACGGCCACCCGUCAUCCGGGGGCCGGACAGUACCUGGUGGGCAGUUUGACUGGGGCGGUCGCCUCCUAAAAGGUAACGGAGGCGCGCAAAGGUUUGCUCAGGCUGGUUGGAAAUCAGCCGACGAGUGUAAAAGCAGAAGCAAGCUUGACUGUGAGACCAACAAGUCGAACAGGGAGGAAACUCGGCUUUAGUGAUCCGACGGUUCUGAGUGGAAGGGCCGUCGCUCAACGGAUAAAAGUUACUCUAAGGAUAACAGGCUGAUCUCCCCCAAGAGUUCACAUCGACGGGGAGGUUUGGCACCUCGAUGUCGGCUCAUCGCAACCUGGGGCUGAAGUCGGUCCCAAGGGUUGGGCUGUUCGCCCAUUAAAGCGGUACGCGAGCUGGGUUCAGAACGUCGUGAGACAGUUCGGUCCAUAUCCGGUGCACGCGCAGGAAUAUUGAGAGGAUUUCUCCCUAGUACGAGAGGACCGGGAGGAACGCACCUCUGGUGUACCAGUUAUCGUGCCAACGGUAAACGCUGGGUAGCCAUGUGCGGAGUGGAUAACCGCUGAAAGCAUCUAAGUGGGAAGCCCACCUCAAGAUGAGUAUUCCCAUGGCGUAAGCCAGUAAGGUCACGGGAAGAACACCCGUUGAUAGGCUCUAUGUGGAAGCGCAGUAAUGCGUGAAGCAGAGGAGUACUAAUAGACCGAGGGCUUGACC